rnacentral:misc_RNA from 1 species
GCCUGUUCGAGCGUCAUGACUAGAUCAGACCUAUGGUUUGGUGUUGGGCUUCGCCUCCACCGGCGGGCCCGAAAGUCUGUGGCGACCCCGUCCGGCUUCGAGCGCAGUGAAACACAUCGCUUUGGAGGCCCAGAUGGACGUCGCCAGCGACCCCCCAAUCAGUUGACCUCGGAUCAGGUAGGGAUACCCGCUGAACUUAA